UAACGGCGUCGAGCGGCGGACGGGUGAGUAAUGCCUAGGAAAUUGCCCUGAUGUGGGGGAUAACCAUUGGAAACGAUGGCUAAUACCGCAUGAUGCCUACGGGCCAAAGAGGGGGACCUUCGGGCCUCUCGCGUCAGGAUAUGCCUAGGUGGGAUUAGCUAGUUGGUGAGGUAAGGGCUCACCAAGGCGACGAUCCCUAGCUGGUCUGAGAGGAUGAUCAGCCACACUGGAACUGAGACACGGUCCAGACUCCUACGGGAGGCAGCAGUGGGGAAUAUUGCACAAUGGGCGCAAGCCUGAUGCAGCCAUGCCGCGUGUGUGAAGAAGGCCUUCGGGUUGUAAAGCACUUUCAGUCGUGAGGAAGGUGGUGUAGUUAAUAGCUGCAUUAUUUGACGUUAGCGACAGAAGAAGCACCGGCUAACUCCGUGCCAGCAGCCGCGGUAAUACGGAGGGUGCGAGCGUUAAUCGGAAUUACUGGGCGUAAAGCGCAUGCAGGUGGUUUGUUAAGUCAGAUGUGAAAGCCCGGGGCUCAACCUCGGAAUAGCAUUUGAAACUGGCAGACUAGAGUACUGUAGAGGGGGGUAGAAUUUCAGGUGUAGCGGUGAAAUGCGUAGAGAUCUGAAGGAAUACCGGUGGCGAAGGCGGCCCCCUGGACAGAUACUGACACUCAGAUGCGAAAGCGUGGGGAGCAAACAGGAUUAGAUACCCUGGUAGUCCACGCCGUAAACGAUGUCUACUUGGAGGUUGUGGCCUUGAGCCGUGGCUUUCGGAGCUAACGCGUUAAGUAGACCGCCUGGGGAGUACGGUCGCAAGAUUAAAACUCAAAUGAAUUGACGGGGGCCCGCACAAGCGGUGGAGCAUGUGGUUUAAUUCGAUGCAACGCGAAGAACCUUACCUACUCUUGACAUCCAGAGAACUUUCCAGAGAUGGAUUGGUGCCUUCGGGAACUCUGAGACAGGUGCUGCAUGGCUGUCGUCAGCUCGUGUUGUGAAAUGUUGGGUUAAGUCCCGCAACGAGCGCAACCCUUAUCCUUGUUUGCCAGCGAGUAAUGUCGGGAACUCCAGGGAGACUGCCGGUGAUAAACCGGAGGAAGGUGGGGACGACGUCAAGUCAUCAUGGCCCUUACGAGUAGGGCUACACACGUGCUACAAUGGCGCAUACAGAGGGCGGCCAACUUGCGAAAGUGAGCGAAUCCCAAAAAGUGCGUCGUAGUCCGGAUUGGAGUCUGCAACUCGACUCCAUGAAGUCGGAAUCGCUAGUAAUCGUGGAUCAGAAUGCCACGGUGAAUACGUUCCCGGGCCUUGUACACACCGCCCGUCACACCAUGGGAGUGG
rnacentral:rRNA from 1 species